rnacentral:rRNA from 1 species
GAUGAACGCUGGCGGCGUGCCUAAUACAUGCAAGUCGAGCGAACGGACGAGAAGCUUGCUUCUCUGAUGUUAGCGGCGGACGGGUGAGUAACACGUGGAUAACCUACCUAUAAGACUGGGAUAACUUCGGGAAACCGGAGCUAACACCGGAUAAUAUUUUGAACCGCAUGGUUCAAAAGUGAAAGACGGUCUUGCUGUCACUUAUAGAUGGAUCCGCGCUGCAUUAGCUAGUUGGUAAGGUAACGGCUUACCAAGGCAACGAUGCAUAGCCGACCUGAGAGGGUGAUCGGCCACACUGGAACUGAGACACGGUCCAGACUCCUACGGGAGGCAGCAGUAGGGAAUCUUCCGCAAUGGGCGAAAGCCUGACGGAGCAACGCCGCGUGAGUGAUGAAGGUCUUCGGAUCGUAAAACUCUGUUAUUAGGGAAGAACAUAUGUGUAAGUAACUGUGCACAUCUUGACGGUACCUAAUCAGAAAGCCACGGCUAACUGCGUG